AAUAUUCUUAAAUGAAAACGGAAGUCGGAUUACUUGCUAUAGACAUUGUGUUUCACAUUAACUCAGAAUUUGUUCGUUACACAUCAAGUAGCAGUAAUCGGAAUUCAAGCAGAUUCACAAAAUCAAACAGAAGUUUAACAAUUUUUAAUCAUUCGAUGAAGGUGUAAUACAAAGGAGUCGAGAACUCACCUAAUCGAACAGCAACAAAACGACUGAAACAGGCCAAAUGAAGAGCCGAAAACAGUUGCGAUAGUGGGAGCUCGAUCAAUUCCUCAGCAGUCAACAGCAGCGUGAAGACAGGAUUUCUGAUCUCAAAACACUACUUGGAAACACAGAAGAUUGAAGCAAGUAGCAGUAGUUCCAAGCAAUUGCUGAGAAUUUUUCUUUUAAACCUAUUUUUCUCUAUUUUUUUAGCAAACAUUUUGUCUCCAAACUUUGAAGAAUGCGAGAAUCUCGAAGUUAUGAAUCUUCGAGCUGUUUUUUUUUGUUUACAAUUUUGACUAUUUCUUCUUUUUGGUCUUGCUAAUGGCUGAAUCUGGUUCGUUGUGGUUGUUUGAAGAAGACGGAGGUGGGACCGUUGGUGAAUGUCGGAUUUCUGGUGAUUUGGUGGCUGGAGGGUGAAGCCCGAAGCUAUGGUUGUUGAUUUGGAGAGGGGAUCGAAGGGUCUCCCCUCGUUUGUGAAGAAGAAGACGGUAGGGGUCUAAGUGUUUGGAGAAGGUGAAAACCAUUGUUCAAUUUUUGGGGUCUGAUCUCUAUAUGUGUGGGAGAUCUCCCUGAGAAUGGAGAAGAAGGAGAGAAGAAAUAGCUGGAAUCCGAGAAAUGGGAAAGGGUCACGCUAUUUUUGUGUCUCUAAUUUGGAGAGCUAUAUUUUUUUUUGUUUACAAUUUUGACUAUUUCUUCUUUUUGGUCUUGCUAAUGGCUGAAUCUGGUUCGUUGUGGUUGUUUGAAGAAGACGGAGGUGGGACCGUUGGUGAAUGUCGGAUUUCUGGUGAUUUGGUGGCUG
rnacentral:lncRNA from 1 species